rnacentral:rRNA from 1 species
ACACACGGAUAACAUACCGAAAGGUAUGCUAAUACGGGAUAAUAUAUUUGAGAGGCAUCUCUUAAAUAUCAAAGGUGAGCCAGUACAGGAUGGACCCGCGUCUGAUUAGCUAGUUGGUAAGGUAACGGCUUACCAAGGCAACGAUCAGUAGCCGACCUGAGAGGGUGAUCGGCCACAUUGGAACUGAGACACGGUCCAAACUCCUACGGGAGGCAGCAGUGGGGAAUAUUGCACAAUGGGCGAAAGCCUGAUGCAGCAACGCCGCGUGAGUGAUGAAGGCCUUCGGGUCGUAAAACUCUGUCCUCAAGGAAGAUAAUGACGGUACUUGAGGAGGAAGCCCCGGCUAACUACGUGCCAGCAGCCGCGGUAAUACGUAGGGGGCUAGCGUUAUCCGGAUUUACUGGGCGUAAAGGGUGCGUAGGCGGUCUUUCAAGUCAGGAGUGAAAGGCUACGGCUCAACCGUAGUAAGCUCUUGAAACUGGGAGACUUGAGUGCGGGAGAGGAGAGUGGAAUUCCUAGUGUAGCGGUGAAAUGCGUAGAUAUUAGGAGGAACACCAGUUGCGAAGGCGGCUCUCUGGACUGUAACUGACGCUGAGGCACGAAAGCGUGGGGAGCAAACAGGAUUAGAUACCCUGGUAGUCCACGCUGUAAACGAUGAGUACUAGGUGUCGGGGGUUACCCCCUUCGGUGCCGCAGCUA